rnacentral:rRNA from 1 species
AGAGUUUGAUCAUGGCUCAGAUUGAACGCUGGCGGAAUGCUUUACACAUGCAAGUCGAGCGGCAGCGCGGGGCAACCUGGCGGCGAGCGGCGAACGGGUGAGUAAUGCAUCGGAACAUGUCCAUGUCGUGGGGGAUAGCCCGGCGAAAGCCGGAUUAAUACCGCAUACGCUCGAGAGAGGAAAGCCGGGGACCGCAAGGCCUGGCGCGAUUGGGUUGGCCGAUGUCCGAUUAGCUAGUUGGUGAGGUAAAGGCUUACCAAGGCGAUGAUCGGUAGCUGGUCUGAGAGGAUGAUCAGCCACACUGGGACUGAGACACGGCCCAGACUCCUACGGGAGGCAGCAGUGGGGAAUUUUGGACAAUGGGGGCAACCCUGAUCCAGCCAUUCCGCGUGAGUGAAGAAGGCCUUCGGGUUGUAAAGCUCUUUUGUCCGGAGCGAAACGGAAGUGGUGAAUAUCCACUUCUACUGACGGUACCGGAAGAAUAAGCACCGGCUAACUACGUG